UUUUUCAAGCCAUCGUACAUCUCCUUCUUCCUUCACUUUCUUCUAGUUCAAGAGAAGAACCAAUCCUUCUUUCUAUCACCUAAACCAUGUGAGCUCCCAAAAGAAAUAAAGAAAGUUAAAUCUUUCCAAACCGUGCACUUUAUCUAUUUCUUUACCACUUUGAGGUUUCUUAUAGUUGAAAUUUCCAAGUGUUUUCAUCUUUCAAGAAGUGAAGAAAUUCGGGGAUUUUCUGAAGUUAAAGGGAUUGCAGCGGAUCGAGACGAAUCUACUGAGGAGCUGAGUAUUGCUGAGGAGGGAGGGGCCGAUGUUUAGUAGUCCCUGGGUAGUUUGGUUUCUUUUUAUGACGAUAUAUGUUUCUUACGUUUUAAUACUGGACCUCACACGGGGAUGUUUUAUUGAGUUAACU